UACCUACGGGACGCAGCAGUGGGGAAUAUUGCACAAUGGGGGAAACCCUGAUGCAGCGACGCCGCGUGAGUGAAGAAGUAUUUCGGUAUGUAAAGCUCUAUCCGCAGGGAAGAAAAUGACGGUACCUGAUUAAGAAGCCCCGGCUAACUACGUGCCAGCAGCCGCGGUAAUACGUAGGGGGCAAGCGUUAUCCGGAUUUACUGGGUGUAAAGGGUGCGCAGGCGGAAUGUCAAGUCAGCGGUAAAAUUUCGGGGCUCAACACCGU
rnacentral:rRNA from 1 species